rnacentral:rRNA from 1 species
AGAGUUUGAUCAUGGCUCAGAACGAACGUUGGCGGCGUGGAUUAGGCAUGCAAGUCGAACGAAUCUCACCUGGGCAACUGGGUGAGGGAAGUGGCGAAAGGGGCAGUAAGGCGUGGGUAACCUGCCCCGGAGUUCGGAAUAGUCCCCCUAACGGGGGGGUAAUACCGAAUGCCGUGCGGGGGGGGCCUCCCCCUUGCACGAAAGCUCCGGCGCUCCGGGAGGGGCCCACGUAGUAUUAGCUAGUUGGUGGGGUAACGGCCCACCAAGGCCAAGAUGCUUAGCAGGUGUGAGAGCACGACCUGCGCCACUGGCACUGGGACACUGGCCAGACUCCUACGGGAGGCUGCAGUCGAGGAUCUUCGGCAAUGGGCGCAAGCCUGACCGAGCGACGCCGCGUGUGCGAUGAAGGCCUUCGGGUUGUAAAGCACUGUCGUGAGGGAGAAAGGCCCGCAAGGGCUUGAUCGACCUCAGGAGGAAGCACGGGCUAAGUUCGUGCCAGCAGCCGCGGUAAGACGAACCGUGCGAACGUUGUUCGGAAUCACUGGGCUUAAAGGGCGCGUAGGCGGGUUCUCAAGUCCGGGGUGAAAGCCCCCAGCUCAACUGGGGAAGUGCCUUGGAUACUGGGGAUCUCGAGGGAGGUAGGGGCGUGCGGAACUUCCGGUGGAGCGGUGAAAUGCGUAGAUAUCGGAAGGAACACCGGUGGCGAAAGCGGCGCGCUGGACCUCUUCUGACGCUGAGGCGCGAAAGCCAGGGGAGCAAACGGGAUUAGAUACCCUAGUAGUCC